AAGUCGUAACAAGGUUUCCGUAGGUGAACCUGCGGAAGGAUCAUUAUCACGUUCAUCCACGUAUCAACCAUUGUGAACUAGUAUUAGACCUUUGGAUCUUAAGAAAGGUAGUGUUAUGUUAAACCGUUAUCAAACAAUUAAAUGAUUGGAAAUUGUUGAGGUUUAAUGCGACCAAACAAAUUCGUUUGUUUACUUUCUGAUUCAAAGUGUAUUUUUUUCCAAUCAAUUAUUUCAUUAACCAUUUAAACCCAAAAUUUUUCUAAAUUUUGAACUGAUUUAAUUUCUUACUCUCUCUAAACCAGAGAGAAGAAAUAAAUGAUUACGAAACAUAAGAACAACUCUUAGCAACGGAUAUCUUGGUUCUC
rnacentral:misc_RNA from 1 species